CGGGUGAGUAACGCGUGGAUAACCUGCCUCACACUGGGGGAUAACAGUUAGAAAUGACUGCUAAUACCGCAUAAGCGCACAGUACCGCAUGGUACAGUGUGAAAAAACUCCGGUGGUGUGAGAUGGAUCCGCGUCUGAUUAGCCAGUUGGCGGGGUAACGGCCCACCAAAGCGACGAUCAGUAGCCGACCUGAGAGGGUGACCGGCCACAUUGGGACUGAGACACGGCCCAA
rnacentral:rRNA from 1 species